rnacentral:rRNA from 1 species
CCUACGGGAGGCAGCAGUAAGGAAUAUUGGUCAAUGGACGCAAGUCUGAACCAGCCAUGCCGCGUGAAGGAUUAAGGCCCUCUGGGUUGUAAACUUCUUUUAUAGGGGACGAAAAAAGGGCAUUCUUGCUCACUUGACGGUACCCUAGGAAUAAGCACCGGCUAACUCCGUGCCAGCAGCCGCGGUAAUACGGAGGGUGCAAGCGUUAUCCGGAUUUACUGGGUUUAAAGGGUGCGUAGGUGGGUUGGUAAGUCAGUGGUGAAAUCUUCGAGCUUAACUCGGAAACUGCCAUUGAUACUAUCAAUCUUGAAUCAUCUAGAGGUAAGCGGAAUAUGUCAUGUAGCGGUGAAAUGCUUAGAUAUGACAUAGAACACCAAUUGCGAAGGCAGCUUACUAUGGAUGCAUUGACACUGAGGCACGAAAGCGUGGGGAUCAAACAGGAUUAGAUACCCUGGUAGUCCACGCCCUAAACGAUGGAUACUCGACAUUUGUGAUAUACAAUAAGUGUCUGAGCGAAAGCAUUAAGUAUCCACCUGGGAAGUACGACCGCAAGUUGAAACUUCAAGGAAUUGACGGCUUGAGACGNGCGAGACGACGACGAGGGAGAGG